AUUAUUUUGGCAGAUUAGUGCUUUGAAUUUAGAAUUCAAAUAUAUAAAUUUAUUUAUAAAUAAUA
rnacentral:tRNA from 1 species